AUUGAACGCUGGCGGCAGGCCUAACACAUGCCAGUCGAACGGUAACAGGAAGAAGCUUGCUUCUUUGCUGACGAGUGGCGGACGGGUGAGUAAUGUCUGGGAAACUGCCUGAUGGAGGGGGAUAACUACUGGAAACGGUAGCUAAUACCGCAUAACGUCGCAAGACCAAAGUGGGGGACCUUCGGGCCGCUUGCCAUCGGAUGUGCCCAGAUGGGAUUAGCUAGUAGGUGGUGUAACGGCUCACCUAGGCGACGAUCCCUAGCUGGUCUGAGAGGAUGACCGGCCACACUGGAACUGAGACACGGCCCAGACUCCUAGGGGGGGCAGAAGUGGGGAAUAUUGCACAAGGGGCGAAAGCCUGAGGCAGCCAUGCCGCGUGUAUGAAGAAGGCCUUCGGGUUGUAAAGUACUUUCAGCGGGGAGGAAGGGAGUAAAGUUAAUACCUUUGCUCAUUGACGUUACCCGCAGAAGAAGCACCGGCUAACUCCGU
rnacentral:rRNA from 1 species